rnacentral:rRNA from 1 species
AUAGAUUAAGUUAUUAAGGGCGCACGGUGGAUGCCUUGGCACUAGAAGCCGAUGAAGGACGUUACUAACGACGAUAUGCUUUGGGGAGCUGUAAGUAAGCUUUGAUCCAGAGAUUUCCAAAUGGGGAAACCCAACAUGAGUUAUGUCAUGUUAUCGAUAUGUGAAUACAUAGCAUAUCAGAAGGCACACCCGGAGAACUGAAACAUCUUAGUACCCGGAGGAAGAGAAAGAAAAAUCGAUUCCCUU